rnacentral:lncRNA from 1 species
AGUUAUAGGCAAUGCCUUGUUUCUCACCACGUUCUCUAAACCUUUUCAGUUUGUCUUUUAGCAUUGUUGAACUGAAAAGGUCAUUGAGACUUUACUUCAUGUCUAAAUGGUUCUAAAAAUUCCCCAGGGUUCCAAGACUUGCUGUGGACUAGAACUGCAAUCAGUAGAGGUAUAGAAACUGUCAGUUGCUGGAACAGGAUCCGUUUGGAAUAAGGCAGAUAAAUGCACUAAGAGACUGCUGAGAACUGAUUGGGCAUCAAGACACUGAACUGUAGGUUAGUCUUGACCACUACACAAUGUGUGAGUUGAUAAACUAUUGCAAAU